AAAGGAAUUGACGGGGGCCCGCACAAGCGGUGGAGCAUGUUGGUCAAUUGGAUGAUACGCCAAGAACCUUACCAGGGUUUGACAUGGUAGGGACAGCCGGUGAAAGCCGGUCUCCCGGGCAACCGGGUCCUAUCACAGGUGGUGCAUGGUUGUCGUCAGCUCGUGUCGUGAGAUGUUGGGUUAAGUCCCGCAACGAGCGCAACCCUCGCCGGAUGUUGCCAUCGGUAACGCCGGGAACUCUUCCGGGACUGCCUGAGUAAUCAGGAGGAAGGAGGGGACGACGUCAAAUCGGCAUGCCCCUUACACCCUGGGCUGCAAACGUGCUACAAUGGCCGGUACAAAGGGUUGCCAAACCGCGAGGUGGAGCCAAUCCCCCAAAGCCGGUCCCAGUUCGGAUUGGGUGUCUGCAACUCGACCCCAUGAAGGCGGAAUCGCUAGUAACCGUGGAUCAGCAAUGCCACGGUGAAUACGUUCCCGGGCCUUGUACACACCGCCCGU
rnacentral:rRNA from 1 species